rnacentral:rRNA from 1 species
GACGAACGCUGGCGGCGUGCUUAACACAUGCAAGUCGAACGGAAAGGCCCUGCUUUUGUGGGGUGCUCGAGUGGCGAACGGGUGAGUAACACGUGAGUAACCUGCCCUUGACUUUGGGAUAACUUCAGGAAACUGGGGCUAAUACCGGAUAGGAGCUCCUGCUGCAUGGUGGGGGUUGGAAAGUUUCGGCGGUUGGGGAUGGACUCGCGGCUUAUCAGCUUGUUGGUGGGGUAGUGGCUUACCAAGGCGUUGACGGGUAGCCGGCCUGAGAGGGUGACCGGCCACAUUGGGACUGAGAUACGGCCCAGACUCCUACGGGAGGCAGCAGUGGGGAAUAUUGCCCAAUGGGCGGAAGCCUGAUGCAGCAACGCCGCGUGCGGGAUGACGGCCUUCGGGUUGUAAACCGCUUUCGCCUGUGACGAAGCGUGAGUGACGGUAAUGGGUAAAGAAGCACCGGCUAACUACGUG